ACGGCUCAGUAACACGUAGUCAAUCUACCCUAUGGACGGGAAUAACCUCGGGAAACUGAGAAUAAUGCCCGAUAGAACAUUAUGCCUGGAAUGGUUUAUGUUUCAAAUGAUUUAUCGCCAUAGGAUGGGACUGCGGCCUAUCAGUUUGUUGGUGAGGUAAUGGCCCACCAAGACUAUUACAGGUACGGGCUCUGAGAGGAGUAGCCCGGAGAUGGGUACUGAGACACGGACCCAGGCCCUAUGGGGCGCAGCAGGCGAGAAAACUUUGCAAUGUGCGAAAGCACGACAAGGUUAAUCCGAGUGGUUUCUGCUAAAGAAACCUUUUGUCAGUCCUAGAAACACUAACGAAUAAGGGGUGGGCAAGUUCUGGUGUCAGCCGCCGCGGUAAAACCAGCACCUCAAGUGGUCAGGAUGAUUAUUGGGCCUAAAGCAUCCGUAGCCGGCUCUGUAAGUUUUCGGUUAAAUCUGUACGCUUAACGUACAGGCUGCCGGGAAUACUGCAGAGCUAGGGAGUGGGAGAGGUAGACGGUACUCGGUAGGAAGUGGUAAAAUGCUUUGAUCUAUCGAUGACCACCUGUGGCGAAGGCGGUCUACCAGAACACGUCCGACGGUGAGGGAUGAAAGCUGGGGGAGCAAACCGGAUUAGAUACCCGGGUAGUCCCAGCUGUAAACUAUGCAAACUCAGUGAUGCAUUGGCUUGUGGCCAAUGCAGUGCUGCAGGGAAGCCGUUAAGUUUGCCGCCUGGGAAGUACGUACGCAAGUAUGAAACUUAAAGGAAUUGGCGGGGGAGCAC
rnacentral:rRNA from 1 species